rnacentral:rRNA from 1 species
UACGUAGGUGGCAAGCGUUGUCCGGAUUUAUUGGGUUUAAAGGGUGCGUAGGCGGUCUUAUAAGUCAGUGCUGAAAUAUCCCGGCUUAACCGGGAGGGUGGCAUUGAUACUGUAGGACUUGAGUAAAGUUGAGGUAGGCGGAAUUGACGGUGUAGCGGUGAAAUGCUUAGAUAUCGUCAAGAACACCGAUAGUGAAGACAGCUUACUAAACUUUAACUGACGCUGAGGCACGAAAGUGUGGGGAUCAAACAGG